AGCGCAGGCGGACCGGCAAGUUGGAAGUGAAAACUAUGGGCUCAACCCAUAAAUUGCUUUCAAAACUGCUGGCCUUGAGUAGUGCAGAGGUAGGUGGAAUUCCCGGUGUAGCGGUGGAAUGCGUAGAUAUCGGGAGGAACACCAGUGGCGAAGGCGACCUACUGGGCACCAACUGACGCUGAGGCUCGAAAGCAUGGGUAGCGAACA
rnacentral:rRNA from 1 species